rnacentral:rRNA from 1 species
GACGAACGCUGGCGGCGUGCUUAACACAUGCAAGUCGAGCGAUGAAGUUUCCUUCGGGAAAUGGAUUAGCGGCGGACGGGUGAGUAACACGUGGGUAACCUGCCUCAUAGAGGGGAAUAGCCUUUCGAAAGGAAGAUUAAUACCGCAUAAGAUUGUAGUACCGCAUGGUACAGCAAUUAAAGGAGCAAUCCGCUAUGAGAUGGACCCGCGUCGCAUUAGCUAGUUGGUGAGGUAACGGCUCACCAAGGCGACGAUGCGUAGCCGACCUGAGAGGGUGAUCGGCCACAUUGGGACUGAGACACGGCCCAGACUCCUACGGGAGGCAGCAGUGGGGAAUAUUGCACAAUGGGGGAAACCCUGAUGCAGCAACGCCGCGUGAGUGAUGACGGUCUUCGGAUUGUAAAGCUCUGUCUUUAGGGACGAUAAUGACGGUACCUAAGGAGGAAGCCACGGCUAACUACGUGCCAGCAGCCGCGGUAAUACGUAGGUGGCAAGCGU